GCCGCUGUAGCUCAAUGGUAGAGCACAUGAUUUGUAAUCUUGAGGUUGUCGGUUCAAGUCCGAUCGGCGGCU
rnacentral:tRNA from 1 species